CUCAGACUGGAACUUCUGCAAAGCCACUGCCGCAAAGACAUACUAGGAAUGGCAGAUGGAUUACUGUAGGAUCUGGUAGACUUAGAGUUGUGGAUAAAAGGCAUUUUGCAAAGUCUGUUGCUCUUCAUAAUUCAUUUUCUGCACUUUCAGAGUGUAAUGGUGUUGUGGAGAGAGGCACUGAGGCUAGUGGUGUUGUGGAGAGAGGCACUAAGACUAGUGGUGUUGUGGAGAGAGGCACUAAGACUAGUGGUGUUGUGGAGACCGGCUUGGAGACUAUGGUGAGGCCUAAUAGAAAGCAGUUGUUGUUGGGGGAUUCCAUCAUAAGAGGUGUUGAGAUGGACAAUGGUGGUCUUGUGAGAUGUCUUCCUUCUCACAGAGAUGUAUUUGUAAUAUUGUUAAGCGAGCGAAGCAGGAAGGGCAAUUGGAUGUACUUGUCCAUCUAGG